GCCACUCCUCACAAGUACUUAUGCCCUAAUGUCUGGUGUUUGAAUAGCAUGGGGAUUACAGAUGAUCUGAGCACUGCAGGAUGAGAGGUAUUUCAUCCUUCUUCCCUCGUCAACAGAGGGAAUGACUUGAAUAGUCUUCAUGUAAGCCUGAGAAAUAAGCUGCAGCCGUGGGCCUGAUCGGUACAGCGCCGGCCUGAGACAGGGGGACAAAGCUAUUUUCCGUUGUGCUGAUGGAUGAGCUUCAACAACCCGCUGAAACUUUCCUGGUUGCUCCAUCUGUUAAAUGGGAUUGUGCUAAUAACAUCUUUUGUAAUAUGCUUUGAGAUUCAUGGAGGCUGCGCUGCAUAUAGGCAAGGGAUAAUUGUUUGAAUAAACAGAUUAUAUAUACUAUG